rnacentral:rRNA from 1 species
AACGAACGCUGGCGGCAGGCCUAACACAUGCAAGUCGAGCGCGCCCUUCGGGGUGAGCGGCGGACGGGUGAGUAACGCGUGGGAACGUGCCCUUUGCUACGGAAUAGUCUCGGGAAACUGGGGGUAAUACCGUAUGAGCCCUUCGGGGGAAAGAUUUAUCGGCAAAGGAUCGGCCCGCGUUGGAUUAGGUAGUUGGUGGGGUAAUGACUCACCAAGCCGACGAUCCAUAGCUGGUUUGAGAGGAUGAUCAGCCACACUGGGACUGAGACACGGCCCAGACUCCUACGGGAGGCAGCAGCGGGGAAUCUUAGACAAUGGGCGCAAGCCUGAUCUAGCCAUGCCGCGUGAGCGAUGAAGGCCUUAGGGUUGUAAAGCUCUUUCGUGGGGGAAGAUAAUGACUGUACCCCAAGAAGAAGCCCCGGCUAACUCCGUG